rfam:Glycine max cultivar Williams 82 chromosome 19, whole genome shotgun sequence.
AGUUAGGGGCUCAAAGACGAUCAAAUAUCAUCCUAGUCUCAAUCAUAAAUGAUGUCAACUAGGGAUCAAUCGAUGUUGCUUUUAGGACUCCACUGGCACCUUAUGAGAAAUCAAAGUCUUUUUGGU